rnacentral:rRNA from 1 species
CGAACGCUGGCGGCGCGCCUAACACAUGCAAGUCGAACGAGCGAGAGAGAGCUUGCUUUCUCGAGCGAGUGGCGAACGGGUGAGUAACGCGUGAGGAACCUGCCUCAAAGAGGGGGACAACAGUUGGAAACGACUGCUAAUACCGCAUAAGCCCACGGGUCGGCAUCGACCAGAGGGAAAAGGAGCAAUCCGCUUUGAGAUGGCCUCGCGUCCGAUUAGCUAGUUGGUGAGGUAACGGCCCACCAAGGCGACGAUCGGUAGCCGGACUGAGAGGUUGAACGGCCACAUUGGGACUGAGACACGGCCCAGACUCCUACGGGAGGCAGCAGUGGGGAAUAUUGCACAAUGGGGGAAACCCUGAUGCAGCGACGCCGCGUGGAGGAAGAAGGUCUUCGGAUUGUAAACUCCUGUUGUUGAGGAAGAUAAUGACGGUACUCAACAAGGAAGUGACGGCUAACUACGUGCCAGCAGCCGCGGUAAAACGUAGGUCACAAGCGUUGUCCGGAAUUACUGGGUGUAAAGGGAGCGCASGCGGGAAGACAAGUUGGAAGUGAAAUCCAUGGGCUCAACCCAUGAACUGCUUUCAAAACUGUUUUUCUUGAGUAGUGCAGAGGUAGGCGGAAUUCCCGGUGUAGCGGUGGAAUGCGUAGAUAUCGGGAGGAACACCAGUGGCGAAGGCGGCCUACUGGGCACCAACUGACGCUGAGGCUCGAAAGUGUGGGUAGCAAACAGGAUUAGAUACCCUGGUAGUCCACACCGUAAACGAUGAUUACUAGGUGUUGGAGGAUUGACCCCUUCAGUGCCGCAGUUAACACAAUAAGUAAUCCACCUGGGGAGUACGACCGCAAGGUUGAAACUCAAAGGAAUUGACGG